UCUAAUGUAAAAAAAAUUUCGUCCACCAAUACUUAUAAUUCCCAAUCAGUUCUGACUCAAUCCUCAUGGGAUAGGCGGUAUGACAGGACAUAAAUCAGUUGACCGGAAGUUAUAAAGUGCUAGUAAGAGUAGUAGUUUGUGUGUCUGUGUGUGUGAAGGUGGUUCCAGAGGCCAUGUGGGUAUCCCGUCGCUAUUCUGGAUGCAGUGCAUCGUGGACCUGACCAGUGUUUGUUAAUUCUUAAAAAUAUUUCUCCACCCUGUGAUGUUAAGACGAGAGGAAGACUGAAACGCUACCAACCUCAAGACCGGAUUAACCGGGACUUGACAUAAAACCUGCUAUAUAUGAAUGCUUUCAAUUCUAUACCAUUUAUAAUUAUGCCAUUUCCUUGAAUAAUUACCCGAUGAAAUCUUUGUUAAUAAAUUAGAUAUCAAGAAAAA